rnacentral:lncRNA from 1 species
AUGCAAUGCUGCCUGAUCAGCCAAACAGAGGGCCAUUGCUGCUGGGCAGGAUGUGACAAGUGUGAUGGCUUGCAAGGCUAUGGUGUACACAGAAGAGUGAUUUCAUUCAAACAAGAAGUUGUUGCUAGGGGCUUGAGAGUGAACUGGACUCUGAAGAGGCACGCGGAGAGAGGCAGCAUCAGGAGAGGAUGA